rnacentral:rRNA from 1 species
UGCAGUCGAACGGCAGCACGGGGGCAACCCUGGUGGCGAGUGGCGAACGGGUGAGUAAUACAUCGGAACGUGCCCAGUCGUGGGGGAUAACGUAGCGAAAGCUACGCUAAUACCGCAUACGAACUCUGGUUGAAAGCGGGGGAUCGCAAGACCUCGCGCGAUUGGAGCGGCCGAUGGCAGAUUAGGUAGUUGGUGGGGUAAAGGCUCACCAAGCCGACGAUCUGUAGCUGGUCUGAGAGGACGACCAGCCACACUGGGACUGAGACACGGCCCAGACUCCUACGGGAGGCAGCAGUGGGGAAUUUUGGACAAUGGGCGCAAGCCUGAUCCAGCAAUGCCGCGUGUGUGAAGAAGGCCUUCGGGUUGUAAAGCACUUUUGUCCGGAAAGAAAACCUCGUGGUUAAUACCCGUGGGGGAUGACGGUACUGGAAGAAUAAGCACCGGCUAACUACGUGCCAGCAGCCGCGGUAAUACGUAGGGUGCAAGCGUUAAUCGGAAUUACUGGGCGUAAAGCGUGCGCAGGCGGUGAUGUAAGACAGGUGUGAAAUCCCCGGGCUUAACCUGGGAACUGCAUUUGUGACUGCAUCGCUGAUGCGGCAGAGGGGGAUG